rnacentral:rRNA from 1 species
AACGAACGCUGGCGGCGUGCUUAACACAUGCAAGUCGAGCGGUAAGGCCCUUUCGGGGGUACACGAGCGGCGAACGGGUGAGUAACACGUGGGUGACCUGCCCUUAGCUCUGGGAUAAGCCUGGGAAACUGGGUCUAAUACCGGAUAUGACUCCAUGACGCAUGUUGUGGGGUGGAAAGCCUUGUGCGGCUAGGGAUGGGCCCGCGGCCUAUCAGCUUGUUGGUGGGGUGAUGGCCUACCAAGGCGACGACGGGUAGCCGGCCUGAGAGGGCGACCGGCCACACUGGGACUGAGACACGGCCCAGACUCCUACGGGAGGCAGCAGUGGGGAAUCUUGCGCAAUGGGCGAAAGCCUGACGCAGCGACGCCGCGUGAGGGAUGACGGCCUGUGUA